GCAAAUAAUCCAAUAAUUUUUAAUAUGUGCGGCUACUUAUAAAAUAGUUAGAAAACGUGACUAUUAUUUUCCAUGUGUAUGUUAUACAUUUCAAAAUCAUGCAUAUACGUCUAAUCAGUAUGUUCAAUUACUUUUAUAAGCAUAACAAACCAAAAUUAUGUGUGAGGUCUAAUGGUUAAAAGCCAUAACAUCUCACACAUAUCGACACUGUUGUUUCAUAAGGGCCAAUGUCGCAAACGUAAACAAUGCCUUUUCCUGCAAAUUCCUCAACACCUAGGAUCGCUCCCAGCUAACAACCACUUGGAACUGGUGGCGCUCCGCGCCUUCUAUCGAAUGGAAGUGGAAAAUACCGCCAGAAGUCUCUAAUCCUCCUGAAAUCAGCAAAAGAAGUCAAUGUUUACGUUUGCGACUUUCGCCCUUUUGAAACAACAAUGUCGAUAUAAUGGAUUGUUUUUCGAUAAUGACAUUGAUAACGAAAUUCAAGAAGCAAAGCGAAGAAAAAAUAAAAUGGCGCCGGAAAAAAGUUCGGUUUUGUGCUCCUAGCUAAAUAAAGCGCUUUCAUUUCUAAAUUUCAUCAUACGUUAAACGUAUAAAAAUAAAUAUAUUUAAUAUCUCAUUCAAUUAAAUUCCAACAUGUUUUUAGUUUAGUGUACUGCAUUUUCGCCAUAAAAUAAACAAUAUUCAUCCCAGGUAACCAUAAGCAUUAAAAUAAGCCAUAGCGAUAAAAAUCUGUUCCCCGAUGGAGAAUCUAUAAUAAAUAUUUGCCGGCGCAGGUGCGGGAGUAGCUUGUUGCUGUAUCCGAGGACAAACCAAUCGGUUCCCACCAGCCGCUCUGAACUUCCCAAAUGGAACUGCUGGAAGCAUUCGGUCAUCUUUGUUCCGGUGAUUCCCCGUUCAAAUCGUCCCGCCAAUGAACAACCUACUGAUUUUGAUACAAUCAAUGAAAAGGACUCUGCAGUAUUAUGUGAUAUUUUGUAGCUGAUGAUUGGUUGAUUGGCGAGCUUUGGGAGCAACACCGGGUUUGAUUUCCGCCGCCUUCCAUUAGAAGCAUGAAACACAAGCUAUUCACCGGUCAACAAAUUAUGUAAAGGUCGUGUAACGUAAAAGCUUGUCAAAACCGAGUCAAUAUUCUUAUUGGUUGUUCGGCUACGGCACCGAAAUCACCGGAGUUCUUUUCCAUUUUUGAAAAGUACGAUGUUGUUCAUCAAAGAUCAGAGAUUUAGCGUAACGGAAACAGGUCACAGUUUAUACAAAUCGUAAUGAGGGCUGCUGCUAAAAGCUGUGCGACUUUUGAGAUUACUGUAUAAUAAUUCAUUAUGUAUUGAAAAUAUAAGUUGAUUAUAAAUAAAUAAAAUUUAUUUUUUGAAUUACUG